AACGCACGAGACCUGCGGACCUGCGGAGGGAUCAUUACCAAAUCAACGGCCGAAAGGCCUUGCCCUAGGUUGGGGAAACCCAAACCGACGGUAAACCCCUUGUGAAACCCUUCUUGUUUGCCUCGGCGGCACACCCCCCCUUCUCGCGGGGGAGUGGUCAGCCCGCCGACGGCACCCAACCGAAACUCUUUUUUUUAUUGAAUUGAAGCUCAGUCUGAAUCAAUGGUCGAAUGACUAUAA
rnacentral:misc_RNA from 1 species